UCGACGGUAACAUAAAGAAGCUUGCUUCUUUGAUGACGAGUGGCGGACGGGUGAGUAAUGCUUGGGAAUCUAGCUUAUGGAGGGGGAUAACUACGGGAAACUGUAGCUAAUACCGCGUAGAAUCGGGAGAUGAAAGUGUGGGACCUUCGGGCCACAUGCCAUAGGAUGAGCCCAAGUGGGAUUAGGUAGUUGGUGAGGUAAAGGCUCACCAAGCCGACGAUCUCUAGCUGGUCUGAGAGGAUGACCAGCCACACUGGGACUGAGACACGGCCCAGACUCCUACGGGAGGCAGCAGUGGGGAAUAUUGCGCAAUGGGGGCAACCCUGACGCAGCCAUGCCGCGUGAAUGAAGAAGGCCUUCGGGUUGUAAAGUUCUUUCGGUAGCGAGGAAGGCAUUUAGUUUAAUAGACUAGGUGAUUGACGUUAACUACAGAAGAAGCACCGGCUAACUCCGUGCCAGCAGCCGCGGUAAUACGGAGGGUGCGAGCGUUAAUCGGAAUAACUGGGCGUAAAGGGCACGCAGGCGGUGACUUAAGUGAGGUGUGAAAGCCCCGGGCUUAACCUGGGAAUUGCAUUUCAUACUGGGUCGCUAGAGUACUUUAGGGAGGGGUAGAAUUCCACGUGUAGCGGUGAAAUGCGUAGAGAUGUGGAGGAAUACCGAAGGCGAAGGCAGCCCCUUGGGAAUGUACUGACGCUCAUGU
rnacentral:rRNA from 1 species